rnacentral:rRNA from 1 species
UAUCUCUGUAGAGUCUGCAUAUCAAUAAGCGGAGGAAAAGAAACUAACAAGGAUUCCCUUAGUAACGGCGAGUGAAGCGGGAAGAGCUCAAAUUUGAAAUCUUCAAGGUUUUACCUUGACGAAUUGUAGUUUAAAGAAGUGUUUUCUGUUGGAGUUUCGGUAAAAGUUCUUUGGAAUAGGACAUCAUAGAGGGUGAGAAUCCCGUAUUUGACCAUUAUUUUCAGCUGUGUGAUACACUUUCAAAGAGUCGGAUUGUUUGGGAAUGCAGUCCAAAAUGGGUGGUAAAUUUCAUCUAAAGCUAAAUAUUGGCGAGAGGACCGAUAGCGAACAAGUACCGUGAGGGAAAGAUGAAAAGAACUUUGAAAAGAGAGUUAAACAGUACGUGAAAUUGUCAAAAGGGGAGCGUUUGACACCAGUGUUGUUUUCUCGAAAAUCAAUUAAAAAUGGCUUGAUUUUGUGUUGUAUUGACCUUAAAAGCUUUCUGCACUUUUUUCAUGUCUUUUUUAAUGCACUUUUCGUUUAACAAGUCAACAUCAGUUUCUUUUGUUGUAAAAAGGUCAUUGGAAGGUGGCUUUCUUUUCGGAGAAAGUGUUUAUAGCCUUUGACUCCUGCAAUCGGAGAGACUGAGGUCUGCAGCGUAGAUCCUUCUUGGAUUAGAUUCAUUUGUGCUAAGUUAUAGCUUUUUAUAGACAACUUGUUGACUAUAUUUAGUCUUGUAGCUUACUCGCUUAUGCAAUUUUACCUACGCUUAGGAUGUUGAACGCGCACAGAGUCUC